rnacentral:lncRNA from 1 species
UGGUCUGUUUUAUUAUAACCUAGAAGCUUACACUAAUCUCACUUAAAAAUAGCUUCAUAAAAGAAUACUUGAACAAAUAUCCGGAUAUCUUGGAUGAGUCAGGUUGAUACAGUUAAUCAUAAGAGACAGCAAUAUCAUCUUUGUUGGCAUAGCCUGGUUCACCUACCAUCGUCAAGACCUGCAAGGAAUCUGUGCGCCAGAAAUUAAAGUUUCAAUGGGCUGCAUCUUAAACAGGCCCACUUCUGUCUAUAGCCUGGAUCCAGAAGACUUUUGGGAGAGAUGGGAUACAAAACUAUCCACCACUUCCAGAAAGUCCAGUCUUCCUGUUAUGAUGACAGCUGAGAAGCCAGCUAGAACAACCAGGAAAGAGAAGACAUGGGUGCAUGUUAGCAGCUCACAAAGGCUGAGAGAAUUCACUUCCCAACUCUGCAUUCAAAGACUUGCUGGCAGUCUGGAAUUGGUCACGUGCAGCCCUUGGAACCCUGAGAGAUGAAUUUGUGCAGCGGAUGGUGCUUAGCAAAGAAGCUCACAGCUGGCCAAAGAGCAAACAAUGCUUGGAGUGCUCAGUCUCAAAUGGGACAACUGCUCUGGUCCCCAGUCCCCUGCUCAGAUGAUGAAGUGGGAAGAUUUUAAAAACCAGAGGGCAGGGAGGAGGGCCAGAGUGAAACUGUGUCUUCUGGACAUGACAGGACCCCCAUGUAUUGGUGAUCACACUGUAGCUGUUGUUGCCCACACAGGAUCUACAUAAGAGCAAGCCAGUUGCUAUUCAAAUUGGAGCAGGAGGGUUUUGAAAGCUCCCAUCUCUAACUGAGGAGUUCCUGAGAGUUGACGGUUUCUGGGAGAGGGAGAGCGAUUUUUCUUUAAGAGUGUAGCUCCUAGUAAGUCAACCACACUCCAGUGUGUGGCCCCAUACCCUGAGGGUACAGGCACAUAGAUUGGAC